rnacentral:tRNA from 1 species
GGUUGUGGCUCAGCGGUAGAGCACUUGCCUAGCAUGUGAGCGCCCUGGGUUUGAUCCUCAGCACCA